ensembl:lncRNA TIPARP-AS1 TIPARP antisense RNA 1
UAUUCAUUCAGCAAAUGUCUGUCAGAGCGUCUAUUACGUACCAGGCAUGUAGCCUGAACUUCACGCCUGUCCUCAUGGAGCUUGCAGAGCACCUCUGAAAUACACACCACAUACGGAAUGGCCAUAUUUUCUGGGUUGUAAAAUACUUUGAAUUGUAACUCCAUAUAUUGAAUAGAUUUUCAGUAGUGAGGGAAGAAACAAUACAUUUAGUUCAUAUAAUCCAUAUGUACGAAAAAGAAGUGCUGGUAAUUCCAGACAUGGAAGUCAGUAAAACUAGGAGCUAAGAGAGUAAUAACAGGAUGGAGAUGGAGUUUCAUGACAAAAAUGAAGGUGAAUAUGAUGUGGAAAAUACAAAGAUGGAAGCAACAAGCUAAGGAUGCUGGGGCAGAAAGAUGGAACCUGGGUUACUCAUGACAUCUUGAAACUGCUGCAGCCAUCCUAGACUGGCUGCCUCUAGACUUAAUAUGUUUAGAAAGUAAAUCCCAAUUUUAUUAAACUGUUAUCUGUUAUGUAUAUAUGAACACAUUCUUAGCUAAUAAACUAUCAUGUCUCCU